rnacentral:rRNA from 1 species
GAUGAACGCUGGCUACAGGCUUAACACAUGCAAGUCGAGGGGAAACGACGGGGAAGCUUGCUUCCCCGGGCGUCGACCGGCGCACGGGUGAGUAACGCGUAUCCAACCUGCCUCUGACUGAGGGAUAACCCGUCGAAAGUCGGCCUAAUACCUCAUGGCAUCGUCUGCGGGCAUCCAACGACGAUUAAAGAUUUCAUCGGUCAGGGAUGGGGAUGCGUCUGAUUAGCUUGUUGGCGGGGUAACGGCCCACCAAGGCUACGAUCAGUAGGGGUUCUGAGAGGAAGGUCCCCCACAUUGGAACUGAGACACGGUCCAAACUCCUACGGGAGGCAGCAGUGAGGAAUAUUGGUCAAUGGGCGAGAGCCUGAACCAGCCAAGUAGCGUGCAGGAUGACGGCCCUAUGGGUUGUAAACUGCUUUUAUGCGGGGAUAAAGUGAGGGACGUGUCCUUCAUUGCGGGUACCGCAUGAAUAAGGACCGGCUAAUUCCGUGCCAGCAGCCGCGGUAAUACGGAAGGUCCGGGCGUUAUCCGGAUUUAUUGGGUUUAAAGGGAGCGUAGGCCGUGGAUUAAGCGUGUUGUGAAAUGCAGGUGCUCAACGUCUGCACUGCAGCGCGAACUGGUCCACUUGAGUGUGCACAACGCAGGCGGAAAUUCGUCGUGUAGCGGUGAAAUGCUUAGAUAUGACGAAGAACUCCCGAUUGCGAAGGCAGCUUGCGGGAGCACAACUGACGCUGAAGCUCGAAAGUGCGGGUAUCGAACAGG